rnacentral:rRNA from 1 species
UGCAGUCGAACGGCAGCACGGGAGCUUGCUCCUGGUGGCGAGUGGCGAACGGGUGAGUAAUAUAUCGGAACGUAUCCAAUAAUGGGGGAUAACUAAUCGAAAGGUUGGCUAAUACCGCAUACGCCCUGAGGGGGAAAGCUGGGGAUCUUCGGACCUAGCGUUAAUGGAGCGGCCGAUAUCUGAUUAGCUAGUUGGUGGGGUAAAGGCCCACCAAGGCGACGAUCAGUAGCUGGUCUGAGAGGACGACCAGCCACACUGGAACUGAGACACGGUCCAGACUCCUACGGGAGGCAGCAGUGGGGAAUUUUGGACAAUGGGCGCAAGCCUGAUCCAGCCAUUCCGCGUGAGUGAAGAAGGCCUUCGGGUUGUAAAGCUCUUUCGCAAGGGAAGAAACGAUUUAGGUGAACAAUCUAAGUUAAUGACGGUACCUUGAUAAGAAGCACCGGCUAACUACGUGCCAGCAGCCGCGGUAAUACGUAGGGUGCGAGCGUUAAUCGGAAUUACUGGGCGUAAAGCGUGCGCAGGCUGUUUUGUAAGUCAGAUGUGAAAUCCCCGAGCUCAACUUGGGAACUGCGUUUGAAACUACAAGACUAGAAUAUGUCAGAGGGGGGUAGAAUUCCACGUGUAGCAGUGAAAUGCGUAGAGAUGUGGAGGAAUAUCAAUGGCGAAGGCAGCCCCCUGGGAUAAUAUUGACGCUCAUGCACGAAAGCGUGGGGAGCAAACAGGAUUAGAU